UCGUCAUUAAACAGAGACCCAAAAAAAAGAUGGAUACUUUUGUUAUGAACUAGGGGAUUCCCACUACAUCCAAAGGUUUGUAAUAACCAAUGAUUUAAUCCAAUUUUCAGAUUCAAAUGACUAUCUACUGUACAAUUUACCAGAACCGCACAUACAUCUCUGUCAAGAUGAGAGAGAGAAUGUGCUUGUAAUAACCCUCAUAGAACAAAGAACGUCAAAAACCAGGUCAUACAGCACAAAACUGAGGGUGGUUUAUGAGACCUACAGCUCACCAAUUGCACAAAAUAAUCUUCGGCUGCCAACACAACUUUAUGAGGACAGUUUUCCCAAUGUCCUCAUUUCAGCCUUCUAUGUCAUAGGAACCAAAUGUCAAUUUUUUUAAAUCACCGAACCAUACCAGAAAAUGUUU
rnacentral:misc_RNA from 1 species